UACGUAGGGUGCGAGCGUUAAUCGGAAUUACUGGGCGUAAAGCGUGCGCAGGCGGUUCGUUGUGUCCGUCGUGAAAGCCCCGGGCUUAACCUGGGAACUGCGAUGGAAACUAGCGAGCUGGAGUGUGGCAGAGGGGGGUGGAAUUCCGCGUGUAGCAGUGAAAUGCGUAGAGAUGCGGAGGAACACCGAUGGCGAAGGCAGCCCCCUGGGCUAACACUGACGCUCAGGCACGAAAGCGUGGGGAGCAAACAGG
rnacentral:rRNA from 1 species